rnacentral:rRNA from 1 species
CUACGGGUUGCACCAGCUAAGAAUCUUCCGCAAUGGGGGAAACCCUGACGGAGCGACGCCGCGUGUGUGAUGAAGGCCGUGAGGUUGUAAAGCACUUUUCUAAUUGAAGAAUAAUGCUGGGAGGGAAUGCCCGGCAGAUGACGUUAGGUUAGGAAUAAGCCACGGCUAAUUACGUGCCAGCAGCCGCGGUAACACGUAAGUGGCAAGCGUUGUUCGGAUUUAUUGGGCGUAAAGGGCGCGUAGGCGGUUUAUCAAGCUUGAUGUGAAAUAUCCCGGCUUAACCGGGGGAAUGCGUCGAGAACUGUUAGACUAGAGUAUAAGAGGGGGAGUUGGAAUUCCUAGUGUAGGGGUGAAAUCUGUAGAUAUUAGGAAGAACACCGGUGGCGAAGGCGAACUCCUGGCUAUAUACUGACGCUGAUGCGCGAAAGUGUGGGGAGCGAACAGGAUUAGAUACCCCCGUAGUC